rnacentral:lncRNA from 1 species
GGGUUGAGCAAGCACGCAUACCCCCAAGAGGUCAAGGGCUUGGUUUUUAUUGGGUUUUGGGUACAGUAUUUUGCUCUUGGAAGCAAUGUUCAUGAUUUGGUGAAAAUAUAUAUAUAUAUAUAUAUAUAUAUUUAUGUGUGUGUGUGUGUGUAGAAAUCUAAUAUAAUAAUGCAAGUCCAGCCAUGUAAAGCCUCUCAAAGUAGGCUAGACUUCCCACAAUCUUGUGAAAAAGGAGAAUGAGACAAAACAAACCUCCUCUUGCCUCCCAUGCAACUUGUAUUUCGAAUAAAUUUACACAUGAAGGCUUUACUUAUAUUUAUGUAAUUUUUAAAAAUUGAUUCCCAAACAUAUUCCUACACUUUGAUACAUCAUUCUUUGAUACUUUGAUGCACUUCUCUCAUUUUUCUACAAUUAAGUUUAUAAGAUUGCUUGAUAAACUUGACAUGGCACGGCUUAUUUUCUACAUUUUUCUAUAUAAGUAAGGAUAAAUAAUUUAUGAAAUAAGCAACCCAUAUCGAAAUAAACAAAGAA